UACAGAGGGUGCGAGCGUUGUUCGGAAUUAUUGGGCGUAAAGGGCGCGUAGGCGGUGCGGUAAGUCACCUGUGAAAUCUCCUGGCUCAACUGGGAGCUUGCAGGCGAAACUGCCGUGCUGGAGUGUGGGAGAGGUGCGUGGAAUUCCCGGUGUAGCGGUGAAAUGCGCAGAUAUCGGGAGGAACACCGAUGGCGAAGGCAGCACUCUGGGCCGGCACUGACGCUGAGGAGCGAAAGCGUGGGGAGCGAACAGG
rnacentral:rRNA from 1 species